UACGAAGGGGGCUAGCGUUGCUCGGAAUCACUGGGCGUAAAGCGCACGUAGGCGGAUUGCUAAGUCAGGGGUGAAAUCCUGGAGCUCAACUCCAGAACUGCCCUUUGAUACUGGCGAUCUUGAGUCCGGGAGAGGUGAGUGGAACUGCGAGUGUAGAGGUGAAAUUCGUAGAUAUUCGCAAGAACACCAGUGGCGAAGGCGGCUCACUGGCCCGGUACUGACGCUGAGGUGCGAAAGCGUGGGGAGCAAACAGG
rnacentral:rRNA from 1 species